CCCACCAGGCAGGAGUUGUGUGUGGUCAGGGCUGUGGCAGAGAAAAAGGGUGGCCUUGCAAGACCCGGAUUAUGAGCCUAGAUCCACCACAUUGUGCCUAACAGACCUGGAGAAGAUUCUUACAUGCACGGGAUGGAAAUAAAAAUACAGUCCUGGCCUUCUGCAUAAGGUCUUUGCCAGAAUCAAGUGAGAUCAAGAACAAGAGGAAUCUUCAUCAAGAGUCAAGUGCAAUGAAAAGGUGAGAGAAUCAUUCCUGAGCCAGUUCACCCCAAAGAGCUGAGAGUCUUCAAAGGAUUGUGGGUGAGAGACGUGGGGAGCAUUUCAGGGGCCUUGGCAUCUGGCCUGUUGGCUGAUCUCCCCAGUGAGUGGCCUGCUUUGCCCUGUUGGUCAGGACAGUGUCCAGAGGACAGAUGAGGUGUGAGGGAGGAGGUGUGGACUGCCCCACGCCCAGGUUUUCUUCGUGUGAGCAACCCAACCCACUAUCCCGACGUCCAACGGAAACACAGCUUCCCUGUCGGGGACCACCAG